AGUGAACGUUGGCGGCGUGGAUUAGGCAUGCAAGUCGAGCGAGAACCGUAGCAAUACGGGGACAGCGGCGAAAGGGACAGUAAUGUGUAGGUACCUACCCCGGGGUCUGGGAUAGCUGCGGGAAACUGCAUGUAAUACCGGAUAAUGUCCUCGGACCAAAGGUGUGAUUCCACCUUGGGAGGGGCCUGCAUCGUAUUAGCUUGUUGGCGGGGUAACGGCGCACCAAGGCAACGAUGGGUAGUGGGUGUGAGAGCACGACCCGGGUCAUUGGGGCUGAGAUACUGCCCAGACGCCUACGGGUGGCUGCAGUCGAGGAUCUUCGGCAAUGGGCGAAAGCCUGACCGAGCGACGCCGCGUGCGGGAUGAAGGCCUUCGGGUUGUAAACCGCUGUCGUAGAGGAGGAAAUGCAGGGGGGUUCUCCCUUCUGUUUGACCUAUUCUAGGAGGAAGGACGGGCUAAGUUCGUGCCAGCAGCCGCCGUAA
rnacentral:rRNA from 1 species